AUCCAGCUGACGAGUUCCUGAUAGGACGAAACGCGUGUCCUAGAU
rnacentral:hammerhead_ribozyme from 1 species